GACGAACGCUGGCGGCGUGCUUAACACAUGCAAGUCGAACGGAAAGGCCCUGCUUUUGUGGGGUGCUCGAGUGGCGAACGGGUGAGUAACACGUGAGUAACCUGCCCUUGACUUUGGGAUAACUUCAGGAAACUGGGGCUAAUACCGGAUAGGAGCUCCUGCUGCAUGGUGGGGGUUGGAAAGUUUCGGCGGUUGGGGAUGGACUCGCGGCUUAUCAGCUUGUUGGUGGGGUAGUGGCUUACCAAGGCUUUGACGGGUAGCCGGCCUGAGAGGGUGACCGGCGACAUUGGGACUGAGAUACGGCCCAGACUCCUACGGGAGGCAGCAGGGGGGAAUAUUGCACAAUGGGCGGAAGCCUGAUGCAGCAACGCCGCGUGCGGGAUGAAGGCCUUCGGGUUGUAAACCGCUUUCGCCUGUGACGAAGCGUGAGUGACGGUAAUGGGUAAAGAAGCACCGGCUAACUACGUG
rnacentral:rRNA from 1 species